UUUUCGGAUCGUAAACUCCUUUCGAUCGAGACGAACGGCCUCUGGGCUAACAUCCCGGAGGAUUGACGGUACCGAGAGAAGAAGCCCCGGCUAACUCCGUGC
rnacentral:rRNA from 1 species